ensembl:lncRNA LINC01093 long intergenic non-protein coding RNA 1093
AUCUGUCUGGGCAAGAGCUGCUCAAGCCACACCUUGUGACACUGAGCAGCCUCAGGAGGACAACGUCAGAAACCAAAAGCUCCUCUGCCCAGGGAUGGGGACCCGCCGACUUCAAGGGCAGAACAGGUGCCUGGCUAGUGGGGGAGUUCCCCAAUGUGGAUUUAAACUGUAGUGUCUUCAGAGAACAUAACCAACAUUUGUCUUUAGGAGAUGUGUUUGUUUGAGUAGAUCAGCUAUGAAAAUACCCAGCCGGCCUGCAGCCCUCCCGGCAGAUGCUGAAAAGGAAACCCGACUGGGAGAUGCCGCCCACCCUUAUCCCCAGAGAGCUGCGUUGUUUCCUCUUGCCUUGGCCUUUGGAUCCGGCCAUAGCAAGCAUCCCUGGGCACCUGGCUGAAGCUGGAAACUCGGGAUAAGAAUGGAAGCCCUGGAAGGGAAGAAGAACCGAGGAGUGAGCUUGCCCUGAGGACAGCACAUUGCACUCUCACCUCCUUUGCAGUUAAGUGUGAAAUAGUGCCAAUAGAGUGUAAAAGAAAAGAAAGAAGAUGAUUCACCUCCCAAAGAUUCCCCACUGCUGUGUCCCUUCUAUCAACUUGAUACAAAAAAACACAAUGGCCCCGGGAACCACGUGUUGAAGAUGAGAGAGCUAAAAGAUGGAAAGAGACUGGAGCCCUGAGUCACCACCUGGAGGAAAACUACCCACCCAUCAGGAAUUUCUACUACACAUUUGGGAGUUUUUGGGGUUACAGCAGCUAAUUUAACGAAAACACCCAGAGACAAGAGCUAUUACUGCACAAAUUGGUUAAGUUACCUUUUUGUAUGUUUGGGUCCUCUCUAUUCGAUGAGACUGCGCGUUCCUUUGAAGCAAAUCUGUUUAAAAUUCUUAUAUCCCCAGAGGGCCUAGCAGAGAGUAUGCACAGAGUGAGCCUUCAGUAAAUGCUGAGUAAAUAAGCUCCUAAUGGAUGAAACUGUGUCUUCGAAGUUUGUUCUGACCAGUACUUAGUAUAGGAUUUUGUGCUGUUGGUCACUUUUCAUAAAGGUUCUUGCUAUUAAGGAACUUGACAUCCAAUGUACUCAUAGAAAGUAGAAAUUCAGGGGAAACAAAUAGAAGAGAUAUGUCCAAAAAUCCAUUUAAAAUUUCAUUGACAGAUAUUUAUCUCUUUAAUCCUGGAAGUUGUUUCAUGUAAGGGAAGGUUCAGUAGAAUGAAAACAGGACUGUAAGCUGGGAGGAGAUUUGGGGUCUCUUGGCCAACUCUGCCACAAAUUGUGUUACCUUCAACUUCCCUGCCUGUAAAAUGAAGUCAGUGGUCCCUAAAAUGAAAUUGGACUAAUGGCAAAUUAGCUAGCAUUUGAUUAUACAUCGAUAGUUUCCCCAUGUGAUUUUAACGCACAAAUCAGAUUUUGGAACCAUUAGGUAGGUGAUCUUAUCUUAUGAGUUUAUCUUUUUCAACAUGGAAAAAUAAAUUUGUUUUGCUGACCGAAGGCUGUGUAACUUAGAACUGGAAAGAGACAUGUAAUUGAAUAACCCAUCUCUAUGGGGCAAAAAAAUGAAACACCUUUAGUUUGUUCAAAGAUGAAAUGGAAAAAUAAACAUGUUUUAAGA